rnacentral:rRNA from 1 species
UACGUAGUGUCCGAGCGUUGUCCGGAGUUACUGGGCGUAAAGCGCGCGCAGGCGGCGGUGCUGGCCCGGCGUGAAAGCCCCCGGCUCAACCGGGGAGGGUCGUCGGGGACCGCACCGCUUGAGGGCGGUAGGGGCUGGUGGAAUGCCUGGUGUAGUGGUGAAAUGCGUAGAGAUCAGGCGGAACACCCGUGGCGAAGGCGGCCAGCUGGGCCGUCCCUGACGCUGAGGCGCGAAGGCGUGGGGAGCGAACGGG